CCUGAUUUGAUGCUGUCUGUACCUGCUCCCUGCCCUCCCUGCUCACAUUAUCACCUAUGUGCUGUUCUCCUGACUCAGUGCACUACUAAGAAAGGGUCUUUGCUGUGGGAUGAUGAGAGGUUGUAUCCCUGCUGAGUUCAUACAUAUUGAAGUUCUGACCUCAAGCAUCACUGUGUUCAAGAUGGAGACCAUAAGAGGUGGUCAGAUAUAGAUGAGAUCAUCUUCGUCUCUGGAACACGAGCAAGAUCUUGUGUUGGGAUUAAGGAAAAUUAUUUCCUUUCAAGACUUGAUUUCAGCCUGCAGUGAAUUUUUAUGACCAAGGGGCUCAUUGAACAGCUGAAGGAGAUAACAAUGUAAUUUCACGAACAGUGACCAAAAGGAAAUGUAUGUAUCCCUAAAAGGGUGGAUAAGCUGACUCUUCACGCUGUCAGUAAAACUGCAUCUGGAUGCCAGAUUUUCACUGGAUUGAUCUCAUUACAUAACUCACUGCCUGCCACUGUAUUGUUACGACCUCUUUCAUGCAGCCGGACAACCUAUAUAUAGAUGUAACAGUAAAUACACACGCAGCCCAUGCUUAAACAAAAUGUUCCCUAUCAUCAUGCUUAUGAGGAUCAAUGUAUUGCCAGAUACAUUCUUCCUGAGUUGGUGUCAGCAGAGCACAGCACAUGUCAUCUCUCCUUCCUCCAGGGUCUCUUCUGAUACCCUCAUU